AGCCGAGCGGUGAGAUUCUUCGGAAUCUUGAGAGCGGCGUACGGGUGCGGAACACGUGUGCAACCUACCUUUAUCAGGGGGAUAGCCUUUCGAAAGGAAGAUUAAUACCCCAUAAUAUAUUGAAUGGCAUCAUUUAAUAUUGAAAACUCCGGUGGAUAGAGAUGGGCACGCGCAAGAUUAGAUAGUUGGUAGGGUAACGGCCUACCAAGUCAAUGAUCUUUAGGGGGCCUGAGAGGGUGAUCCCCCACACUGGUACUGAGACACGGACCAGACUCCUACGGGAGGCAGCAGUGAGGAAUAUUGGACAAUGGGUGAGAGCCUGAUCCAGCCAUCCCGCGUGAAGGACGACGGCCCUAUGGGUUGUAAACUUCUUUUGUAUAGGGAUAAACCUACUCUCGUGAGAGUAGCUGAAGGUACUAUACGAAUAAGCACCGGCUAACUCCGUGCCAGCAGCCGCGGUAAUACGGAGGGUGCAAGCGUUAUCCGGAUUUAUUGGGUUUAAAGGGUCCGUAGGCGGAUCUGUAAGUCAGUGGUGAAAUCUCAUAGCUUAACUAUGAAACUGCCAUUGAUACUGCAGGUCUUGAGUAAAGUAGAAGUGGCUGGAAUAAGUAGUGUAGCGGUGAAAUGCAUAGAUAUUACUUAGAACACCAAUUGCGAAGGCAGGUCACUAUGUUUUAACUGACGCUGAUGGACGAAAGCGUGGGGAGCGAACAGGAUUAGAUACCCUGGUAGUCCACGCCGUAAACGAUGCUAACUCGUUUUUGGGUUUUCGGAUUCAGAGACUAAGCGAAAGUGAUAAGUUAGCCACCUGGGGAGUACGUUCGCAAGAAUGAAACUCAAAGGAAUUGACGGGGGCCCGCACAAGCGGUGGAUUAUGUGGUUUAAUUCGAUGAUACGCGAGGAACCUUACCAAGGCUUAAAUGGGAAUUGACAGGUUUAGAAAUAGACUUUUCUUCGGACAAUUUUCAAGGUGCUGCAUGGUUGUCGUCAGCUCGUGCCGUGAGGUGUUAGGUUAAGUCCUGCAACGAGCGCAACCCCUGUCACUAGUUGCCAUCAUUCAGUUGGGGACUCUAGUGAGACUGCCUACGCAAGUAGAGAGGAAGGUGGGGAUGACGUCAAAUCAUCACGGCCCUUACGCCUUGGGCCACACACGUAAUACAAUGGCCAGUACAGAGGGCAGCUACCAGGCGACUGGAUGCGAAUCUCGAAAGCUGGUCUCAGUUCGGAUUGGAGUCUGCAACUCGACUC
rnacentral:rRNA from 1 species